UYUUGUGAUGAKAAAAAAAAAAUACAGGUUUCCGUAAGGGAACCUGCCGGAAGGUUCUUUGRAUUAAUUAUUCUUGUUGCUCGGAAUUUCUGGUUAGAUUUUUUUCAAUUAAGGGGAUCUUUAAUGAACUAUUGGGGCUAAAUUCGGCGCUUCUUUAAAUUUCAAGCAGUCAAGGAAGGUCCAAAAGUAACAAGGUUUCCGUAGGUGAACCUGCGGAAGGAUCAUUAAAGAGUAAGGGUGCUCAGCGCCCGACCUCCAACCCUUUGUUGUUAAAACUACCUUGUUGCUUUGGCGGGACCGCUCGGUCUCGAGCCGCUGGGGAUUCGUCCCAGGCGAGCGCCCGCCAGAGUUAAACCAAACUCUUGUUAUUAAACCGGUCGUCUGAGUUAAAAUUUUGAAUAAAUCAAAACUUUCAACAACGGAUCUCUUGGUUCUCGCAUCGAUGAAGAACGCAGCGAAAUGCGAUAAGUAAUGUGAAUUGCAGAAUUCAGUGAAUCAUCGAAUCUUUGAACGCACAUUGCGCCCCUUGGUAUUCCGAGGGGCAUGCCUGUUCGAGCGUCAUUACACCACUCAAGCUAUGCUUGGUAUUGGGUGCCGUCCUUAGUUGGGCGCGCCUUAAAGACCUCGGCGAGGCCUCACCGGCUUUAGGCGUAGUAGAAUUUAUUCGAACGUCUGUCAAAGGAGAGGACUUCUGCCGACUGAAACCUUUUAUUCUCUAGGUGACCUCGGAUCAGGUACGCUCCCACUUCC
rnacentral:rRNA from 1 species